rnacentral:rRNA from 1 species
UACGAAGGGGGCUAGCGUUGCUCGGAAUUACUGGGCGUAAAGGGCGCGUAGGCGGAUAGUUUAGUCAGAGGUGAAAGCCCAGGGCUCAACCUUGGAAUUGCCUUUGAUACUGGCUAUCUUGAGUUCGGGAGAGGUGAGUGGAAUGCCGAGUGUAGAGGUGAAAUUCGUAGAUAUUCGGCGGAACACCAGUGGCGAAGCGACUCACUGGCCCGAUACUGACGCUGAGGCGCGAAAGCGUGGGGAGCAAACAGG